UACGUAGGGGUGCAAGCGUUAAUCGGAAUUACUGGGCGUAAAGCGUGCGCAGGCGGUUAUGUAAGACAGUUGUGAAAUCCCCGGGCUCAACCUGGGAACUGCAUCUGUGACUGCAUAGCUAGAGUACGGUAGAGGGGGAUGGAAUUCCGCGUGUAGCAGUGAAAUGCGCAGAUAUCAGGAGGAACACCAAUGGCGAAGGCAGCUCGCUGGGACGGUACUGACGCUGGAGGCGACGAAAGCGUGGGGAGCAAACAGG
rnacentral:rRNA from 1 species